rnacentral:rRNA from 1 species
AGCGAACGCUGGCGGCAGGCCUAAUACAUGCAAGUCGAGCGCACCUUCGGGUGAGCGGCGGACGGGUGAGUAACGCGUGGGAACGUGCCCUUUGGUACGGGAUAACUGAGGGAAACUUCAGCUAAUACCGUAUGUGCCCUACGGGGGAAAGAUUUAUCGCCAUUGGAGCGGCCCGCGUUGGAUUAGCUAGUUGGUGAGGUAAAGGCUCACCAAGGCUACGAUCCAUAGCUGGUCUGAGAGGAUGAUCAGCCACACUGGGACUGAGACACGGCCCAGACUCCUACGGGAGGCAGCAGUAGGGAAUCUUGCACAAUGGGCGAAAGCCUGACGCAGCCAUGCCGCGUGAAUGAUGAAGGUCUUAGGAUUGUAAAAUUCUUUCACCGGGGAAGAUAAUGACGGUACCCGGAGAAGAAGCCCCGGCUAACUUCGUGCCAGCAGCCGCCGUAACAC